GUCAUUGCACUUAUGAAAUUACUCUCAACAGAAAUUUAUUUGGGUCUCCAGAGACUGAUUGAGAGCAAAUGAGAGUAUUUAAGAUUAUUUUCUGACUUUUUGCGUGCCCCUCUCUGAGGACUUUAUGUCUAUAUUUUUAAUUUGGGAUAUGACUAAAAUAGAUUUAUUUUCAAAUCAGAUGCCUCUGGCCCACAUCAGGCGUUGGUCAUGUGUGUGACGCAUUAUUCGCCUUGCCUUCUGUUCCACAUGUGAAGCCAAGGGCCUCUUAAAGCCAAGUUCCUAUGGAUUUUAAAUACAGCGUUAGUCUUGGAGUUGGGUUAGUUGUAAGUGAAAUAAACAGCUUAGCAAAGGAGGUACCAAUAUGAUCUAAAGGGCUUUAUUUCUAGUUGAAUAUUCACUUCCAAAUCAAUUUGAAAUUAAAUUUAUUUAGGCCAUCAAUUGCCAAAGGUAGGUAAUUUUGAAUAAGAAGAUGCUUCCUGAGAAAUUAGCAUGAUCUUUCAUAUUUAAAAUUCUGUUUACCUUAAUGAAAAGUGGCUAGUAAGAUCCCUUAUGAAGUCCCAUUUUAUAUGAAAAUUUGAUUGCGACGUCAUAUUUAAGGCAAGAAAUGUGUUUAGUCAAAUCAUUCUUUGAAAACCCUUAUGAUACAGAUAAAUCCUUGUAACACAUGGUAAUAUGUAUGUAUAAAAGUUAAUUAUGUAGUAAAUACGAAGUAUAAUAAAGAUUACACAAGCAAGAAACAAUUUAUAGUGUCUCUAAUUACAUGAAAAGAUGGAGAGACGCCAUCUGACUACAUGUGGC
rnacentral:lncRNA from 1 species